CGAACCGCGAUGAGGAAGAGGAGUAAUCAUUUAGUCGAGACUACAGAGAGCUGGUGGGUAGUGUGAACCAGCGUCGAGCGAAUGAUGAAUGGGCUUCUGAGCAGCAAACCGAACCUUUGUAGUAGGCUUUGCCGUGAACGUCCACACGUUACAAUGGAUACCGUAUCAUGUCGUACGGGUGAUAAGUGAUUUUAAAGCGCGCUUUAAAAUAAUAAGGGUGGUACCACGGUCCAUUCGUCCCUUUU
rnacentral:ncRNA from 1 species